UAAGCUUGCUUUAUUUUUAGUGAAAAACUUCAAUGAAAAAUCAAUUUCUCACUAAGAAUUAAAGACUUAAAAGUAGAUAUGAUUCUCAAAUAGUUCAUUAUCAAGAAUCAUCAGAAAUCCAACCAUUAAAUAAAUAUGAUUAACUCCAUAUCUUCAAGAUCUUUUAGAGAUUCAAAUAUUUAAGGGUUGUAUGGAUAAACUAGAAGCUUUAAGGGCU
rnacentral:lncRNA from 1 species